CGACCCCUGUGGGGGAGGUGCCUAUCGCCUGGCUGCGGCCCGGACACGAGGUGCUGACGCGGGACGGCGGAUCCCUUCCGGUGAGGUGGG
rnacentral:tRNA from 1 species